rnacentral:rRNA from 1 species
UGGGGAAUUUUGCACAAUGGGGGAAACCCUGAUGCAGCGACGCCGCGUGAUUUAGAAGGCCUUCGGGUUGUAAAAAUCUUUUCUAUGGGAAGAAAAUGACAGUACCAUAGGAAUAAGGACCGGCUAAUUACGUGCCAGCAGCCGCGGUAAUACGUAAGGUCCGAGCGUUGUCCGGAAUCAUUGGGCGUAAAGGGUACGUAGGCGGGUAAGCAAGUUAGAAGUGAAAUCCUAUAGCUCAACUAUAGUAAGCUUUUAAAACUGCUCAUCUUGAGGUAUGGAAGGGAAAGUGGAAUUCCUAGUGUAGCGGUGAAAUGCGCAGAUAUUAGGAGGAAUACCGGUGGCGAAGGCGACUUUCUGGCCAUAGCCUGACGCUGAGGUACGAAAGCGUGGGUAGCAAACAGG